AAGUUUGAGUAGACCACAUGGCAAAUGAAAGGCACACACGGUACUUAAUGUAGAAUCUGAAUGUGGUUGUUCGACUCCUGAUCCGAGCUAUCGUCGCCCCCGUACCUCCGCCUACCACUCGACUAUUGAUCUCCCGGCAGAGAAUCCCAAGUUUCCAACUUUGAAUAGAAAAUUUCGAAGUCGGGGCCUUUUGACCGUCCGGGUUGUGCUCAGGAGAUGGUUGCUAAGGAGUUUGGCAUACCAGUUCAAUUUCAGCGGUUUUGGCUGUGGGCGAAGUGUCAAAACCAUACAUAUCGUCCAAACCAUCCGUUGAUUCCCAUGAAGGAAACACAACAUGUUGGGCAGUUGAGGGAGGUAUCAAAUAAGGCUCAUUACUUCAUAAUGCAGAACUCAAGUUGUUCUUGGAUAUUAGCUUGGAAGGGAGAUUAAGUACUAGCCAACUGUCAUGGGUGAACCCAUCAACAUGAAACUCACAUUUUGAGCGAGCCAGCUUGAUGAUGGAGAAAUUGUUUGCUUUCAGAAACCUAAUCCAGUUGAAAAUGGUCGGAGGUUCCGCUAUCCCGAUGUCCACCAUCUUUUCUGGAUUGUGUGCACAAUUGUCUCCUACAGCUUUCAAAGCUUCUAUAUACUUCAUUGGAACAGCUGUUUCUGAUUAUUUAUGCUUUGACUGCAAUUGCUGCUCUGUGAUAGCUCAGCAGUGAAGCUUUAUCUCAUGCAUGGCCCUGCCACUAUGAGAAAGCAUUUAAAGCAGAAACUGUUCAUCUCUUUAGUUUUGGUUUGCUUCGUGUUUUUCCCUACUGUCUUGAACUGAGAUGAGCUGGCUCUCAUGCUUCAUGGUGUCUUGAGAAUGAUGCUUUUAUUGAAAUUAGAGCAUCCAACCCCAAAACCAAUUGGCAAUGAGAAGCCCAAGAUCUUAUAUAUUAUUUAACAUGACUAAGAAAAAUGUCUAGUUGAGGAUUAUGCAUUCUUCAGUGUUUUUAUUUGUUCCUCGUUUUUCCUAAGAUGGGAAUGCUAUGUUACAACGAAACUUUUUUUGGUUUUGAGGCCUGUUACAAAAUAUUUGUUGUUGACAUUGCUUCUCUUGUUGUUAGGCACCAACAUCUAUAUGCUUUCCUUGGUGUGUUUUUGGUGCACCAAUACCAUUGAUCUUCAGCUCCACCGCAGGUAAAAAGAUUGCAGCUCUAUUGUGUACUAGAUACUAUGACUUGGAUAAAUCUUAAUAAUGUGCAUCUCCCCUGUCCAAAAUAGAAGCUGGCUGCUGAGAUUCGAGCAAUGGACAACGCAGAGCCGCUGAGAUCCUCCUGUGGAGGGACAAGAAAGUAUCAGCAAGUGUUCUUGGUGCAGCCGCUGUAUUAUGGAUUUUCUUUGAGUUGCUUGAAUACCAUUUGAUCACCCUGGUGCGUCAUAUGUUGAUACCAUGCAGUGUUUACUAGAUUACCACUUUGUGUGUUUUAUUUUAGACCUGGUCGCACAGUUUAAUGAAUGUAAGAGUUUAACAUCUAUAAAUAUCAAGAUGCCUUAUAGA